GAUGAACGCUGGCGGCGUGCCUAAUACAUGCAAGUCGAGCGAACAGAUGAGGAGCUUGCUCCUCUGACGUUAGCGGCGGACGGGUGAGUAACACGUGGAUAACCUACCUAUAAGACUGGGAUAACUUCGGGAAACCGGAGCUAAUACCGGAUAAUAUAUUUAACCGCAUGGUUCAAUAGUUAAAGACGGUUUUGCUGUCACUUAUAGAUUGAUCCGCGCCGCAUUAGCUAGUUGGUAAGGUAACGGCUUACCAAGGCAACGAUGCGUAGCCGACCUGAGAGGGUGAUCGGCCACACUGGAACGGAGACACGGUCCAGACUACUACGGGAGGCAGCAGUAGGGAAUCUUCCGCAAUGGGCGAAAGCGUGACGGAGCAAAGCCGCGUGAGUGAUGAAGGUCUUCGGAUCGUAAAACUCUGUUAUUAGGGAAGAACAAAUGUGUAAGUAAAUAUGCACGUAUUGACGGUACCUAAUCAGAAAGCCACGGCUAACUACGUG
rnacentral:rRNA from 1 species